rnacentral:rRNA from 2 species
UAAACGACUCUCGGCAACGGAUAUCUCGGCUCUCGCAUCGAUGAAGAACGUAGCGAAAUGCGAUACUUGGUGUGAAUUGCAGAAUCCCGUGAACCAUCGAGUCUUUGAACGCAAGUUGCGCCCGAAGCCUUUAGGACGAGGGCACGCCUGCCUGGGCGUCACGC